rnacentral:lncRNA from 1 species
UUUUAUUUAAGGAUUUUAUCUUGCUUAGUGGAGCCCACAUGAGUUAGUAGUCUAUUUUGAAAAGGAGUCUUAAAGAAGCUAUUGGGUCUUAUCCUUAAUUAUCUCCUUUGUUCCUGUUUAACACAGUUGAUUGUGGGUAGAAUUUCUCUCCUUUAUUUCAGCUCGUCAAAAUCAAAUAGCAGGCGUAUAAUUGCUUUCUGGUAAUACAAAGCUGCUGAAAUUAUGGAUGAUUGCUAACGGGACUGAGAUUUCUUUGCUAACAGAUUUUAUAGCCGUUGGGUCUCUCUUUAUAUAUAGUCUUAUCUCACAGCUAAGCAG